rnacentral:tRNA from 1 species
GCCGAUGUAGCUCAGGGGUAGAGCAACUGAUUCGUAAUCAGUAGGUCGUAGGUUCAAUUCCCACCAUCGGCACCA